rnacentral:rRNA from 1 species
GGUUACUGCUAUCGGUGUUCGCCUAAGCCAUGCGAGUCAUAUGUUCUUCGGAACAUGGCGUACUGCUCAGUAACACGUGGAUAACCUGCCCUUGGGUCCGGCAUAACCCCGGGAAACUGGGGAUAAUUCCGAAUAACGCACAUAUGCUGGAAUGCUUUAUGCGUCAAAUGGAUUCGUCCGCCCAAGGAUGGGUCUGCGGCCUAUCAGGUAGUAGUGGGUGUAAUGUACCUACUAGCCUACGACGGGUACGGGUUGUGAGAGCAAGGGCCCGGAGAUGGAUUCUGAGACAUGAAUCCAGGCCCUACGGGGCGCAGCAGGCGCGAAAACUUUACAAUGCGGGAAACCGUGAUAAGGGGACACCGAGUGCCAGCAUCAUAUGCUGGCUGUCCGGGUGUGUAAAAUACACCUGUUAGCAAGGGCCGGGCAAGACCGGUGCCAGCCGCCGCGGUAACACCGGCGGCCCGAGUGGUGAUCGUGAUUAUUGGGUCUAAAGGGUCCGUAGCCGGUUUGGUCAGUCCUCCGGGAAAUCUGACGGCUUAACCGUUAGGCUUUCGGGGGAUACUGCCAGACUUGGAACCGGGAGAGGUAAGAGGUACUACAGGGGUAGGAGUGAAAUCUUGUAAUCCCUGUGGGACCACCUGUGGCGAAGGCGUCUUACCAGAACGGGUUCGACGGUGAGGGACGAAAGCUGGGGGCACGAACCGAAUUAGAUACCCGGGUAGUCCCAGCCGUAAACGAUGCUCGCUAGGUGUCAGGCAUGGUGUAACCGUGUCUGGUGCCGCAGGGAAGCCGUGAAGCGAGCCACCUGGGAAGUACGGCCGCAAGGCUGAAACUUAA